rnacentral:lncRNA from 1 species
UUUUGCUUAUUCGUUUCUGCAACCGCCUGUAUAGUAUACUUCUUUUUUGUCAACUUUGAUUUCAUUAAAAGUUCAAAUGGGCGAUAAAGAGUUUCCAAGCCCAACAACUCCAGAAUUACAUUCAAAUUUUGCAAUAAAGCCCACUAAAAAAAACAUGUAUUGAGUUCAGAUAAAAAAAUCAACUUAACGAUGACACGCAUCUAACACGUUUUGCAAAGAGUUGAAGGAGAAAGAGUUUCGCCGCCGUCGAACCGCCACCGCGAGACUCUGAUCAGAAACUGCCACUGCGAGACUUCAUGAAGGACCAAAAACUGACAAUCUUCUACUAGUUACUGCUAACAAUUUCCAUCAAUUCUCGGCCUUCUGCUUCGAAAACCACUUACUUGCUCCUUGUUUGCCGGAAGAAACCUAUGAAUCGAGAAAUUGAGCAACCAGAGAUUUUACCUCAGCUUGAUCGGGUUUAGAGUAUUCAUUGGUGAAGCAUCAAAACACGACGGCAAUCCCCAAUUCGUCAUACUCCUCGCCAAACAGCCGCUUCAUCAUGUUAAAUCAACCAUAGAGAACCGUCGUUCAAUCAACCUUCAAGAAGAGGGAGGAUUCACGCACCGUGGAAGAAGAAACAGACACCAGUGAAACAAAGCUCAACUAGACCUUCCAGGAUUAGCAACCUCCAAGAGAAAGAAAUCAAUUGAAUCCUCAGAUUUUGACAUCUUCAACUGAAGCAAGUAGAGAAAAACCUAAAAAACAAAAUCCAAUAAGUCGGAACUUAUUACCAGUCUACGCCGGAGAUUGUUAUCCGAUCGACAGCAAAAGAUCCAGAGAAAAACUGGAAACUAAAACAAUAUUAUACAAAGAUCCAAAGCAUAUAUACAGCACGUUAUCGACAUCGGAUUAACGCAAGCACCGGCCAAAAAGAAAACUAAGAGCACUGAAGAAAAGUUUCAGAAAAUAUUAGAGAGAACUUUCUCUUUCUAGAGUUAGAGAGAGAGAAUUAAUUUUAGCACUCUAUGUAGUAUACAAGUAUUAGUCAGAUAUGGGAAACAUG